UGCCAGCCGCCGCGGUAAUACGGAGGAUGCAAGCGUUAUCCGGAAUCAUUGGGUUUAAAGGGUCCGUAGGCGGAUAAUUAAGUCAGUGGUGAAAUCUCGGGGCUCAACCCCGAAACUGCCAUUGAUACUGAUAAACUUGAGUUCAGUUGGAGUAGGCGGAAUGUGUAGUGUAGCGGUGAAAUGCUUAGAUAUUACACAGAACACCGAUGGCGAAGGCAUCUCUCUGGGUCGAUAUUGACGCUGAGGCGCGAAGGCGUGGGUAGCGAGCGGGAUUAGAUA
rnacentral:rRNA from 1 species